GAUGAACGCUGGCGGCGUGCCUAAUACAUGCAAGUCGAGCGAACAGACGAGGAGCUUGCUCCUCUGACGUUAGCGGCGGACGGGUGAGUAACACGUGGAUAACCUACCUAUAAGACUGGGAUAACUUCGGGAAACCGGAGCUAAUACCGGAUAAUAUAUUGUACCGCAUGGUUUAAUAGUGAAAGACGGUUUUGCUGUCACUUAUAGAUGGAUCCGCGCCGCAUUAGCUAGUUGGUAAGGUAACGGCUUACCAAGGCGACGAUGCGUAGCCGACCUGAGAGGGUGAUCGGCCACACUGGAACUGAGACACGGUCCAGACUCCUACGGGAGGCAGCAGUAGGGAAUCUUCCGCAAUGGGCGAAAGCCUGACGGAGCAACGCCGCGUGAGUGAUGAAGGUCUUCGGAUCGUAAAACUCUGUUAUUAGGGAAGAACAAAUGUGUAAGUAACUAUGCACGUCUUGACGGUACCUAAUCAGAAAGCCACGGCUAACUACGUG
rnacentral:rRNA from 1 species